UACACACCAUUUGUUUACAAUUCAACGAUCUAUAUCAGAAUUAAAGUAUGGAGCAUGGGACACCUUUUUGGGGGUUGGACGUUUCUCCUCAUCUGCUCUAGAAUUAAUUGGUGAAGAUUGUGGCAAGAGCUCACACAAUCGAGCUCUUUCACAUGUAAUCUUACUCUGCAAAUCACAACAAACAGCUGUCAUUCUGAUGAACUAUAUAUUUAUAUCUAAUAUGUAUGGAAGAUAUUAACAUAUUAGGGACCUUGUAUUUCAAAUCUUGCACUUCUCUAUCCAUAGAGGCAAUUUUAUUCUUUAACUGCUCAAGAACUUCUUCAGCAAGAGAAGGGUUAAUCUCAUUUACAGGCUUUGUAAUUCCAGCUGCCUGCAAAUUGAUUGGUUUGAAUAAGUUUUUCCUCCUCUGUUUCCUGGAGCAGAUAAUUCAUUGUUAAUUGCCUAACUCUCUCUCUCUAAAAAUAUCGAUAUAUACUCCUCUGUCAAUAAGGCAAUAAGGGACUACUACCACCACACUCCUUCGUGCUCUUGGUACUAUAUAGUUAUAAUUCCAAUUUUUCUUUUUUUCUUUUUUAUGUGACGAUGUACAUAUCCCAUUAAUUUUCAUAAAAUUCUGAACUUGUUACUAAAAAAAAUCUAAACAUUCGGCUUCACAAGCAUAUAAAUAAAAUAGGAAAAUUUAUUCAAUAUUUACUAUAUAACUACAGUAUCCAUCAUCACAUAAAAAAAAAUUAGAUUUAUAAGUAUUUAUAAACCAAUGCACUGGUAGUCUUUUUUGCACAUGGAAGUACCAAAGAAUCUUCAUAUAUAUAGUAAACCAAUGCAAAUAAAUCCCUGAAGUACAGUGUACUUACCUUUAAUUUUGAACUCAACCGUUUCUCUUCAUCAAAAUCUAUGUAUGGAUUCCUCCCAUUGGAUGCACGGAAGCAAGCAAGUUCAUCCUUCACACGAGAAAGAAGGACUUCUGUCCGCCUCAGCUUGGUGCUAAGUUAGCUGUUUUUUCAGCUUAACAACCUCCUGAUCCUGAAGGAAAUUCAAUAAAAACAAGUCAUGUUCAUAGCAUAUUCAAGAGCAAAGAUGUCAAGCUAAGAUUCAGAUGAUGAAAGCUGAGCUUACUACAUCUUGGGAUUCUAUAUCAUGAAAUCGAGCCUUCUCAGUAAUUUUCUGAACUUGCUGAUUGUCUAGUAGUGACUGGCAUUAAAAUAGGAGAUGUGUGAUAUUAGAAUUGUUGUCCAGACUAAAAAAUGAUCUAUUUUUAUACCAUAUUUGCCAAUGUUGGCUUCAGAAUAUAUAUAUAUAUAUAUAUAACCCAGAUAUCUGUAUGUCAGGAAGAGUCAUUUGUAUACAGAUUUUAUGAAAACUUUAAUGAAACUCAAUUUUUCGAAUAUACAUUAAAACUGGCAUUAGUUUGUUAGACUAAAACCAGUAAGGCUAAAUAGUUACCACGUAAGUAGUCAUGUCCAACUUGACUCCCAGUAAGUCCCGAAUCACAUCGUGGGUCAUACUUUCAGCAGCUGCCAAUUUGGUGUUUAGAGUAAAUAUCUACAUUGAGAAGAGAAAGGAGUAAUCCAAAUUAUUUUGGUAACAAACAUUAAUAGAAGAACAAAACAAUGACAUAAAUGACUCUUAUGUUCAUUGUCCAAAUCUUGGAGCAACCAAUUCAGGGCAGCAAGGCCUACCUCU